AGCGCUGGCGACGCGCUUAACACAUGCAAGUCGAGCGAGAACCAGGGCUUCGGCCCUGGGGAAAGCGGCGAACGGGUGAGUAACACGUGGGUAAUCUGCCCUCGGCAUCGGGAUAGCCCGGGGAAACCCGGAUUAAUACCGAAUAGCCUCCGGAGCCUUCGGGCGCCGGAGGAAAGGUAGCUCCGGCCUCUGGCCGAGGAUGAGCCCGCGGCGGAUUAGCUUGUUGGCGGGGUAACGCCCACCAAGGCGA
rnacentral:rRNA from 1 species